rnacentral:sRNA from 1 species
AGUCUUGGAGUUGCAGCACACUCUUCAGUCAGCUGUGUGACUCUAGGCAAAUGAUUCACCUCUCUGAGCCUCUGCUUCCCUAUCUGUAUAGGAGGAGGGCACUGCAUGGGGUUCAGUGAGGUAACCCCAGGCCACAUUCAAGGUGCAGAAUGUGCCCUCAAACAGUAGCUGUGAUCCCAGCUGUGCCUCUGCCCCGUGGAACCUCCCCUCAGAAGGCCAGGCUCCUUGUCUGAAAGGAGAGGCUGGUGACAGCAGCCCCUCCCACGUUGUUGUGGGGACUGCAGGUGGUGGCCCUGGUAAGAUGCUUAGAGCCAAAGUUGCUCAUGUGUCACAUGGGAAUGCAGGGAAGGGACCUCGCAUCAAGCCACACCGUCCCCUCCUCCCUACCCCCUCAGGUCCUAGUGGAGGGAAACCUUUCGGGUCGUUGACAUGUGCUCUCCCCGAGUCACCAUUCAGGUUUCUGAACUGGGGCUUUCAGUCAUCCCACAGGCCUCGCGGACGAAGGGGUGCCUGAAGCUGUGGAGAGGGUGCACAGGGCCUGGCAGGGUCCUGUCCUGCCCUGCCACGACGCUGCUGAACCAGCUCAAGAAAACCUUCCUGCACAGAGUCAGAGGGAAGUACCCAGGACAGCUGGAAAUAGCGUGCCGCAGGCUCCUGGAGCAGGUGGUCAGCUGUGGUGGGCUGCUCCCUGGAGCUGGGCUCCCAGAACAACAGAUCAUUACCUGGUUCCAGUUUCACGGCUACCUGCAGAGGCAGAGCGUCUCUGACCUGGAGAAGCACUUCACCCAGCUCACCAAGGAAGUGACACUCA